rnacentral:rRNA from 1 species
GACGUAGGAUGCAAGCGUUGUCCGGAUUUAUUGGGCGUAAAGAGUUCGUAGGCGGUUCGUUAAGUCUGGUGUUAAAGACUGGGGCUCAACCCUGGAAGUGCACUGGAUACUGGCGGACUGGAGUGCAGUAGAGGCAAGCGGAAUUCCAGGUGUAGCGGUGAAAUGCGUAGAUAUCUGGAAGAACACCGGUGGCGCAAGCGGCUUGCUGGGCUGUAACUGACGCUGAGGAACGAAAGCUAGGGGAGCGAAUGGG